UCAUUGCCAGGCUCUCCUGCCUUUUCAUGGCAUCUCUGCCUGACCAUGCAGAGGGAGCAGGAGGUAGUGUCAGGGAGAACAGGGAAGGUGUUCUCUGGAAGCCAGGCAAUAAAAAUGUGAUUUCCAAGCAUGUCCAGCCACAGCCCUGACCCUGGGAUGUCAAAGGUAACACUCUUCAUCACCUCAGGGAAAAUGGAUUCAUGCCAAAGCAAAGGGACCUUGCUGUUUUUCCUGUGGAAAAAGGAGGGAUGCAUCCAGCUGCCAUCUUCCUGGCAUGGCACACACUGCCCACCAUCUCCACAACAGGAACUCACUCUGCUGGACAUCAAAUUAAAGCCUUGUGAUAAUCUGAAGGAGCUGGUUUUGAAUCAUUGGUACAGCUGUUCAGAGGACUAGAGAGGAUAUUCUAUAAUUUUUUCAAGUAAAAUCCCAUUUUAAUGCAAUCUAAAUGUGAUCAGGAUCCCUGGUAUUCACUACUUUUUUCCUGAUAUUGCCUCACAG